rnacentral:piRNA from 1 species
GGCCAAGCUGAUGCCUCACAAGGGCCU